rnacentral:rRNA from 1 species
GUGGGGAAUCUUGCGCAAUGGGCGAAAGCCUGACGCAGCCAUGCCGCGUGAAUGAUGAAGGUCUUAGGAUUGUAAAAUUCUUUCACCGGGGACGAUAAUGACUGUAGCCGGAGAAGAAGCCCCGGCUAACUUCGUGCCAGCAGCCGCGGUAAUACGAAGGGGGCUAGCGUUGCUCGGAUUUACUGGGCGUAAAGGGCGCGUAGGCGGACAUUUAAGUCAGGGGUGAAAUCCCGGGGCUCAACCUCGGAACUGCCUUUGAUACUGGGUGUCUUGAGUAUGAGAGAGGUGUGUGGAACUCCGAGUGUAGAGGUGAAAUUCGUAGAUAUUCGGAAGAACACCAGUGGCGAAGGCGACACACUGGCUCAUUACUGACGCUGAGGCGCGAAAGCGUGGGGAGCAAACAGGAUUAGAAACCCCUGUAGUCC